GCGUUCGAUGGCCUGUGAGGUGUUGAGUUUUGAGUUCAGCAGCAGGCGGAAUGCGUGGUUCAGGGCCUGGAUCGUCUCCGGCGAAUAGCC
rnacentral:tRNA from 1 species